rnacentral:sRNA from 1 species
GCCAGGCGCAGUGGCGCACACCUGUCAUCCUAGCAGCUCAGGAGGCUGAGGCAGGAGGAUCACAAAUUGGAGGCCAGCCUCAGCAAUUUCCACUCAGCGAGACCCUGUCUCUA